rnacentral:rRNA from 1 species
AUUGAACGCUGGCGGCAGGCCUAACACAUGCCAGUCGAGCGGAUGAAGGGAGCUUGCUCCUGGCUUCAGCGGCGGACGGGUGAGUAAUGCCUAGGAAUCUGCCUGCUAGUGGGGGAUAACGUCCGGAAACGGGCGCUAAUACCGCAUACGUCCUGAGGGAGAAAGUGGGUGAUCUUCGGACCUCACGCUAUCAGAUGAGCCUAGGUCGGCUUAGCUAGUUGGUGGGGUAAAGGCCUACCAAGGCGACGAUCCGUAACUGGUCUGAGAGGAUGAUCAGUCACACUGGAACUGAGACACGGUCCAGACUCCUACGGGAGGCAGCAGUGGGGAAUAUUGGACAAUGGGCGAAAGCCUGAUCCAGCCAUGCCGCGUGUGUGAAGAAGGUCUUCGGAUUGUAAAGCACUUCAAGUUGGGAGGAAGGGCAGUAAGUUAAUACCUUGCUGUUGUGACGUUACCAACAGAAUAAGCACCGGCUAACUUCGUG